CAACUAGAGUAUAAUUAAAAUAGAAUCUAUUUUCUGAGAAAUCAAUAUGUUCAAAGACCAAAGAAUGUGACCUGGGUAGAGCUGGGUUCAAAUAGUGUUCUCUCUCUCUCUCUCUCUCUCUCUCUCUCUCUCUCUCUCUCUCUCUCUCUCUCUCUCUCUUCGUAAUCUGGUUCAAUGUGGUUCUUGAAUGUAGCUUUAGAACCCAGCAGAACAUCUAGCCUGUGCUGUACGGCCACCCCAGCUCAGAGGACAACCAAACAGAUUAGAAAGCAGGAACAUGGCAGCUGUCUGCUAAGGGGCUGCUACAGUAGCCAUGCAGAAGUUAAAGACCAAAGGCGACCUGGUCCUCGUUCUUUCUCCUUCACCUCAGGUACGCACUCUUAGGAAGAUGCAGAUCCCACACUUACCAAAUUUCAAAAAUUCAUUGAACAAAGACUAGAGAUGAAAAUGUUUUGGUCAUAUAAACAAACCAAUUUAAAAUCCCUAUCUCCUGAGAGACUACUGUGCUCUGAAAGCUGCUCAUAGACAAACAGUAUUGGCUUCAAAAUGUUCCACUCCUUGGCAGUAUGAUUCGUGUACUUUUACUUUGUUAAACUUUCUGAUGUUUUUCCUACCUUUAGACUACCAGUCAUUCAAUAAACAGUUGAAAACCAGGUGUGGCUGGGAUUAAAUGA